rnacentral:rRNA from 1 species
CCUACGAGUGGCAGCAGUAGGGAAUAUUGCUCAAUGGGGGAAACCCUGAAGCAGCAACGCCGCGUGGAGGAUGAAGGUUUUCGGAUUGUAAACUCCUUUUGUUAGAGAAGAUUAUGACGGGAUCCAACGAAUAAACACAGGCUAACUCAGGGCCAGCAGCCGCGGUAAUAAGGAGGGUGCAAGCGUUACUCGGAAUGACUGGGCGUAAAGAGUGCGUAGGCUGGGUCAUAAAUCAGAUGUGAAAUCCUGUAGCUUAACUACAGAACUGCAUUUGAAACUGUUACUCUGGAGUGUGGGAGAGGUAGGUGGAAUUCUUGGUGUAGGGGUAAAAUCCGUAGAGAUCAAGAGGAAUACUCAUUGCGAAGGCGACCUGCUGGGACAUUACUGACGCUGAUGCACGAAAGCGUGGGGAGCAAACAGGAUUAGAUACCCGAGUAGUC